rnacentral:rRNA from 1 species
UACGAGGGGGCGAGCGUUGUUCGGAAUUAUUGGGCGUAAAGGGUGCGUAGGCGGCCUGACAAGUCUGAUGUGAAAUCCCUGGGCUCAACCCAGGCCUGCAUCGGAAACUGUCGGCUUGAGUAUGGGAGAGGUGAGUGGAAUUUCCGGUGUAGCGGUGAAAUGCGUAGAUAUCGGAAAGGAACACCUGUGGCGAAAGCGGCUCACUGGACCAUUACUGACGCUGAGGCACGAAAGCUAGGGAGCA